rnacentral:lncRNA from 1 species
GCUUCUGACUAGCAGGUGAGCGGCAUUUGGGGGCCUCGGGGACAACAGCUACUCAGAGAGAGAUAAACUUUCAGACUGUUCAAAGGCAGGCCUGGGGGCAGAGUCAGGGCCAGCAGGCAGGCAGACAGCCAGCUAUGCAGAGGGGGAGUGGCUGUCAUGGGGGCCGGUAUGGCAUGGAGCCCGUUGCUCCAGCAGAUCUCAAGUAAGUCGUAGCUCCGUGGAUUGUGAGUGGGGGCACUGCCACCUGACCUGGUUACAGCCUGAUGCAGGUGGAAAGGGGCCUGGCGCACUCCCUCGGCCCUGCCUUGCUCUCUCUGGUCUCCCUGCAACACUUAGGGUCAAUGCCUCUUCUUCUCCAGGGCCCCGGUAUUCCCUCCAGUGAGCCAUGGAAAAAGAGCCCUCCUCCCCCAGAUAGCCAGGUCUGUCCAAGUUACUAAAUUGGAGGCUGGGAACGAUCUGCGAAUGCAGGACGAGGACAUAGAGACACAAUCUUAGCAACAAAGUUGCCCCAGGGACAGGAGCUGUAAUUAUGGCUGAAAAGGGGCAGGGGUGGAGCCAACAUCUGGCAGUGCCCACCACAGACCAACUAGGCUAAAGACCUCCUCGUGGGAUUUCAUUUCCUCCCUGCUCACAACAAACGAGGGAGGGCUGUGAGCCUCCUAGAUAGUCUGGGAAACUGAGGCUCCGAGGGGUGUGGUGACUUGAUGGAGGUCACAUCACCCUCCUGGAGAGGUGCAGAGCCAGGUCCGUUGUGCCUCCCUCUACAUCUCUGCCCUUAAGACGUUUUCCACAACAUCGCCCCCACCAUAUACCCAGACAGAGCUCACACAGAGAGCACACGAACUCAUCAGGCUGGAGCCAGCCUCCCCUCACUGGCCAUCCCCAGCUGUGGAAGUCCCUUCCCAGGUCUAGCCUGCAUCCUUCCUGCUGUUCACAGAUGUCAAGGCCCAGUGGAGGUUUCUGUGAAAUGAGGCCAGGCAGCCUGAGCUUAUCCCACCCAGAGGUCCCAGGUCUCUUGUCUGUGCUGAUGUUGACUGUAAAUCUCCAUCUCCCAUCUCCUAACACCUCCCCUCCCCUCCCCUCCGGCCGUCACCUUGCAGCAGCGUUAAGCUGCUCAGUACUUCCCAGCACCAGGGCUCCCCAAGCCUCAUAGCUGCUCCAUCAACUAGCCCUAAAAGUGCCUUCUGUGUGCCAAACACUGGUGUUAGAAAGGUGCCACCAACUCUGAGACUUUCUUCCUAUGUGACCUUGGGCAAGUCCUUUUGCCUCUCAGAUCCCCAGUGGCCUCUUCUGUUAAACAGGGUAACACUACCUCCUGGGAGGCUGCUCUACAGAACAAAGGAGUGAAAGGCUGUGAGAAACCCCAGCCC